rnacentral:lncRNA from 1 species
CAGGGAGUGGUGCUUGAGUCAACACCCGUGCAAAGGACUGGGCUGAGGCAGAAUUGGGAAGAGGGAGAAAUCCAGCUGAGAUGCAAGCCAGACAGUGCCCGCCAACAGCACAGGGUGCUCAGAAACUUGAAACAGAACACAGAGGAGUUGACAAUUCAGCAGUACUGAUCUACUUGUAGCUUACAGUGUGGUAUUGAUGACUGCAAACUCACAUCUGAGAAUUAAAGACAUAGAAGGCUUUUGUGACAACCUCCAACAAAACAGUCUAGACAGUUAUUGAAGAGAACUCUUAAAAAAUGUGAUAAGGAUGCUGAAGAGUGGCUCUUCACAGUUCAUGGCUUCUGGUGGGGGUUGGGUAGGAGAAGGAAUCUGUUAUCUUCAAG